UUGUAGGUGUCACAUUGUAGGUUUAAAUUGGUUGUAGAAUUUAUAUUGUAACUUGCAUACUUAUUUAGUUGAGUUUAAUCUAAGUGUAUAUUUGAUGUGUUUGUAUUAUUUUAGAAUUUACUGUUUUAGACACGUGGCAUGUGGUAUCCCACUAAUUAGCUAUUUUAAACAUGUGACAAGUGGUAUGACACUGUAAGUUUAAAUAAGUUGUAAAAUUAAUUUUUUUAUAUAGUUGCUUGCAUUUUUUUUGGUCUGCAUAUUUAAUCUUGUUUUGAUUUAUCAUAGUUUUUAAAAGGUUAGAGACCUUAUUUUUUGCUCCUGAUAGGUAUUGAUGUAUGUGAAAUGUAUGUGAGUCUUUCAGUUAUCAGAUAACGUCAAGGAGUUGACAGCAUGGUGUUCGAUUUAAAGUGCAAACCUGUGUACGAGUAACAACAGUAUUCAAAACCAAAACCUAUUUAAACCAACCAAACCAAAACUAGCGACCAAAAACUAAUAUCUUGGCAUCGAUUUAUUUUAAACAUCUAUUAUAUAUAUG